rnacentral:rRNA from 1 species
GUGCCUAACACAUGCAAGUCGAGCGAUUUUCUUCGGAGAAGAGCGGCGGACGGGUGAGUAACGCGUGGGUAACCUGCCCUGUACACACGGAUAACAUACCGAAAGGUAUGCUAAUACGAGAUAAUAUACUUUUAUCGCAUGGUAGAAGUAUCAAAGCUUUUGCGGUACAGGAUGGACCCGCGUCUGAUUAGCUAGUUGGUAAGGUAACGGCUUACCAAGGCGACGAUCAGUAGCCGACCUGAGAGGGUGAUCGGCCACAUUGGAACUGAGACACGGUCCAAACUCCUACGGGAGGCAGCAGUGGGGAAUAUUGCACAAUGGGCGAAAGCCUGAUGCAGCAACGCCGCGUGAGCGAUGAAGGCCUUCGGGUCGUAAAGCUCUGUCCUCAAGGAAGAUAAUGACGGUACUUGAGGAGGAAGCCCCGGCUAACUACGUGCCAGCAGCCGCGGUAAUACGUAGGGGGCUAGCGUUAUCCGGAAUUACUGGGCGUAAAGGGUGCGUAGGUGGUUUCUUAAGUCAGAGGUGAAAGGCUACGGCUCAACCGUAGUAAGCCUUUGAAACUGAGAAACUUGAGUGCAGGAGAGGAGAGUGGAAUUCCUAGUGUAGCGGUGAAAUGCGUAGAUAUUAGGAGGAACACCAGUUGCGAAGGCGGCUCUCUGGACUGUACUGACACUGAGGCCCGAAGCGUGGGGAG